rnacentral:rRNA from 1 species
AGAGUUUGAUCAUGGCUCAGGAUGAACGCUGGCGGCGUGCCUAAUACAUGCAAGUCGAACGGUUCUCGCAAGAGGAUAGUGGCGAACGGGUGAGUAACGCGUUGGUGACCUGCCCCUUAGAGAGGGAUAACAGAUCGAAAGAUCUGCUAAUACCGCAUAAGAUCGUGAGGAUUAGAAGCUCAUGAUGAAAGCCGAAAGGCGCUGAGGGAGGGACCUGCGUCCCAUCAGCUAGUUGGUGAGGUAACGGCUCACCAAGGCGAUGACGGGUAGGGGACCUGAGAGGGUGACCCCCCACAAUGGAACUGAAACACGGUCCAUACACCUACGGGUGGCAGCAGUAGGGAAUAUUGGGAAUGGGCGCAAGCCUGACCCAGCAACGCCGCGUGAGUGAUGAAGGCCUUCGGGUUGUAAAACUCUUUUCGCCGGGAAGAGGAAGGACGGUACCGGUGGAAUAAGUCUCGGCUAACUACGUGCCAGCAGCCGCGGUAACACGUAGGAGACAAGCGUUAUCCGGAUUUACUGGGUGUAAAGCGCGUGCAGGCGGUCUGGUAAGUUGGAUGUGAAAGCUCCUGGCUUAACUGGGAGAGGUCGUUCAAUACUGCUGGACUAGAGGAUGGCAGAGGGGAGUGGGAUUCCGAGUGUAGCGGUAAAAUGCAUAGAUAUUCGGAAGAACACCAGUGGCGAAGGCGGCUCUCUGGGCCAUAUCUGACGCUCAGACGCGAAAGCUAGGGUAGCAAACGGGAUUAGAGACCCCGGUAGUCCUAGCCGUAAACGAUGUGAACUUGGCGUUGGUGGGUUCAAAUCCAUCAGUGCCGCAGCAAACGCGAUAAGUUCACCACCUGGGGACUACGGCCGCAAGGUUAAAACUCAAAGGAAUUGACGG